rnacentral:RNase_P_RNA from 1 species
GAAGUUCGCCAGGCAACCGCUGAUCACGCAAGUGGUUGGAGGAAAGUCCGGGCCCCACAGGGCAAGAUGCCGGUUAACGACCGGGCACCGCGAGGUGACAGACAGUGCAACAGAAAGAUACCGCCUAAGCCCGACUUUGACGCCGCAAGGCGGCAAAGUCCUUUUCUGAAGAGCAGCUCGCUGCGAUGAAGGAAAGAAAGGGCCGGUAAGGGUGAAAUGGCGGGGUAAGAGCCCACCGCGUUUCUGGUAACAGAAACGGCACGGCAAACCUCAUCUGGGGCAAGGCCAAAUAGGGGAGCACUGGCGUGGCCCGCGUCGCUCCCGGGUAGGCUGCUAGAGGCCGCUGGCAACAGCGGUCCCAGAGGAAUGGUUGCCCACGACAGAACCCGGCUUAUCGGCGGACUUCCCAC